rnacentral:rRNA from 1 species
UACGGAGGGGGCUAGCGUUGUUCGGAAUUACUGGGCGUAAAGCGCGCGUAGGCGGACCUGCAAGUCGGGGGGUGAAAGCCCGAGGCUCAACCUCGGAACUGCCUUCGAUACUGCGGGUCUCGAGUCCGGGAGAGGUGAGUGGAAUUCCUAGUGUAGAGGUGAAAUUCGUAGAUAUUAGGAAGAACACCAAUGGCGAAGGCAGCUCUCUGGGACGGUACUGACGCUGAGGUGCGAAAGCGUGGGGAGCAAACAGG